GACGAACGCUGGCGGCGUGCCUAAUACAUGCAAGUUGAGCGAUGAAGCUUGGUGCUUGCACCAAUUUGAAGAGCAGCGAACGGGUGAGUAACGCGUGGGGAAUCUGCCUUUGAGCGGGGGACAACAUUUGGAAACGAAUGCUAAUACCGCAUAACAACUUUAAACAUAAGUUUUAAGUUUGAAAGAUGCAAUUGCAUCACUCAAAGAUGAUCCCGCGUUGUAUUAGCUAGUUGGUGAGGUAAAGGCUCACCAAGGCGAUGAUACAUAGCCGACCUGAGAGGGUGAUCGGCCACAUUGGGACUGAGACACGGCCCAAACUCCUACGGGAGGCAGCAGUAGGGAAUCUUCGGCAAUGGACGAAAGUCUGACCGAGCAACGCCGCGUGAGUGAAGAAGGGUUUCGGAUCGUAAAACUCUGUUGGUAGAGAAGAACGUUGGUGAGAGUGGAAAGCUCAUCAAGUGACAGUAACUACCCAGAAAGGGACGGCUAACUACGUG
rnacentral:rRNA from 1 species